UGAGUUCCCAGACAGCAGGAAACCUGGCUUCUAGCUUGCUGGCCCAUAGUAGGUUUGCAACAGAUGAAGAGACCCAUGCUGAGAAGCCUAAUGGGUCAGGCAGGUGCAUGAGCAAAUGAACCGGGUACCUGACAUGGACACACUUCACUUACAUAUCACAUAGGAUGAAGAUAUCCAUGCAAACAUAAAUAUGGUACCUGGGAGCUGUCAGACAUGCUGGAGUUACUUUAGACUUAAGUGGAAAUUAGUUCAAACACAUGGUUAUUUUAAAGCGAGGUAGUGGAGUUGGGAGCUCUGGUGAAGGAAGCAGAAAGAACACAGGGCUUCGCACCAGAGGACUGGGUGCUAAUUGCCUGGAUUGUGAGGUUGUUGUGAAGAUCAAAUGAGGUAAUGCAUGUAAAGUACUUAGCACGGUAUCCGGCACACAGAAACCCAAGGAGAAAUG